GGUUAAGCGACUAAGCGUACACGGUGGAUGCCCUGGCAGUCAGAGGCGAUGAAGGACGUGCUAAUCUGCGAUAAGCGUCGGUAAGGUGAUAUGAACCGUUAUAACCGGCGAUUUCCGAAUGGGGAAACCCAGUGUGAUUCGUCACACUAUCAUUAACUGAAUCCAUAGGUUAAUGAGGCGAACCGGGGGAACUGAAACAUCUAAGUACCCCGAGGAAAAGAAAUCAACCGAGAUUCCCCCAGUAGCGGCGAGCGAACGGGGAGGAGCCCAGAGCCUGAAUCAGUGUGUGUGUUAGUGGAAGCGUCUGGAAAGGCGCGCGAUACAGGGUGACAGCCCCGUACACAAAAAUGCACAUGCUGUGAGCUCGAUGAGUAGGGCGGGACACGUGGUAUCCUGUCUGAAUAUGGGGGGACCAUCCUCCAAGGCUAAAUACUCCUGACUGACCGAUAGUGAACCAGUACCGUGAGGGAAAGGCGAAAAGAACCCCGGCGAGGGGAGUGAAAAAGAACCUGAAACCGUGUACGUACAAGCAGUGGGAGCCUCUUUAUGGGGUGACUGCGUACCUUUUGUAUAAUGGGUCAGCGACUUAUAUUCUGUAGCAAGGUUAACCGAAUAGGGGAGCCGAAGGGAAACCGAGUCUUAACUGGGCGUUAAGUUGCAGGGUAUAGACCCGAAACCCGGUGAUCUAGCCAUGGGCAGGUUGAAGGUUGGGUAACACUAACUGGAGGACCGAACCGACUAAUGUUGAAAAAUUAGCGGAUGACUUGUGGCUGGGGGUGAAAGGCCAAUCAAACCGGGAGAUAGCUGGUUCUCCCCGAAAGCUAUUUAGGUAGCGCCUCGUGAAUUCAUCUCCGGGGGUAGAGCACUGUUUCGGCAAGGGGGUCAUCCCGACUUACCAACCCGAUGCAAACUGCGAAUACCGGAGAAUGUUAUCACGGGAGACACACGGCGGGUGCUAACGUCCGUCGUGAAGAGGGAAACAACCCAGACCGCCAGCUAAGGUCCCAAAGUCAUGGUUAAGUGGGAAACGAUGUGGGAAGGCCCAGACAGCCAGGAUGUUGGCUUAGAAGCAGCCAUCAUUUAAAGAAAGCGUAAUAGCUCACUGGUCGAGUCGGCCUGCGCGGAAGAUGUAACGGGGCUAAACCAUGCACCGAAGCUGCGGCAGCGACGCUUAUGCGUUGUUGGGUAGGGGAGCGUUCUGUAAGCCUGUGAAGGUGUGCUGUGAGGCAUGCUGGAGGUAUCAGAAGUGCGAAUGCUGACAUAAGUAACGAUAAAGCGGGUGAAAAGCCCGCUCGCCGGAAGACCAAGGGUUCCUGUCCAACGUUAAUCGGGGCAGGGUGAGUCGACCCCUAAGGCGAGGCCGAAAGGCGUAGUCGAUGGGAAACAGGUUAAUAUUCCUGUACUUGGUGUUACUGCGAAGGGGGGACGGAGAAGGCUAUGUUGGCCGGGCGACGGUUGUCCCGGUUUAAGCGUGUAGGCUGGUUUUCCAGGCAAAUCCGGAAAAUCAAGGCUGAGGCGUGAUGACGAGGCACUACGGUGCUGAAGCAACAAAUGCCCUGCUUCCAGGAAAAGCCUCUAAGCAUCAGGUAACAUCAAAUCGUACCCCAAACCGACACAGGUGGUCAGGUAGAGAAUACCAAGGCGCUUGAGAGAACUCGGGUGAAGGAACUAGGCAAAAUGGUGCCGUAACUUCGGGAGAAGGCACGCUGAUAUGUAGGUGAAGUCCCUCGCGGAUGGAGCUGAAAUCAGUCGAAGAUACCAGCUGGCUGCAACUGUUUAUUAAAAACACAGCACUGUGCAAACACGAAAGUGGACGUAUACGGUGUGACGCCUGCCCGGUGCCGGAAGGUUAAUUGAUGGGGUUAGCCGCAAGGCGAAGCUCUUGAUCGAAGCCCCGGUAAACGGCGGCCGUAACUAUAACGGUCCUAAGGUAGCGAAAUUCCUUGUCGGGUAAGUUCCGACCUGCACGAAUGGCGUAAUGAUGGCCAGGCUGUCUCCACCCGAGACUCAGUGAAAUUGAACUCGCUGUGAAGAUGCAGUGUACCCGCGGCAAGACGGAAAGACCCCGUGAACCUUUACUAUAGCUUGACACUGAACAUUGAGCCUUGAUGUGUAGGAUAGGUGGGAGGCUUUGAAGUGUGGACGCCAGUCUGCAUGGAGCCGACCUUGAAAUACCACCCUUUAAUGUUUGAUGUUCUAACGUGGACCCGUAAUCCGGGUUGCGGACAGUGUCUGGUGGGUAGUUUGACUGGGGCGGUCUCCUCCUAAAGAGUAACGGAGGAGCACGAAGGUUGGCUAAUCCUGGUCGGACAUCAGGAGGUUAGUGCAAUGGCAUAAGCCAGCUUGACUGCGAGCGUGACGGCGCGAGCAGGUGCGAAAGCAGGUCAUAGUGAUCCGGUGGUUCUGAAUGGAAGGGCCAUCGCUCAACGGAUAAAAGGUACUCCGGGGAUAACAGGCUGAUACCGCCCAAGAGUUCAUAUCGACGGCGGUGUUUGGCACCUCGAUGUCGGCUCAUCACAUCCUGGGGCUGAAGUAGGUCCCAAGGGUAUGGCUGUUCGCCAUUUAAAGUGGUACGCGAGCUGGGUUUAGAACGUCGUGAGACAGUUCGGUCCCUAUCUGCCGUGGGCGCUGGAGAACUGAGGGGGGCUGCUCCUAGUACGAGAGGACCGGAGUGGACGCAUCACUGGUGUUCGGGUUGUCAUGCCAAUGGCACUGCCCGGUAGCUAAAUGCGGAAGAGAUAAGUGCUGAAAGCAUCUAAGCACGAAACUUGCCCCGAGAUGAGUUCUCCCUGACUCCUUGAGAGUCCUGAAGGAACGUUGAAGACGACGACGUUGAUAGGCCGGGUGUGUAAGCGCAGCGAUGCGUUGAGCUAACCGGUACUAAUGAACCGUGAGGCUUAACCUU
rnacentral:rRNA from 1 species